rnacentral:tRNA from 1 species
GGAUAGCUCAGCCGGUAGAGCAUGAGACUCUUAAUCUCAGAGAUGUGGGUUCUAGCCCCACCUUGGGCA